rnacentral:tRNA from 1 species
GCCUGGAUAGCUCAGUUGGGAGAGCAUCAGACUUCAAUCUGAGGGUCCGGGGCUCAAGCCCUUGUUCACGUC